rnacentral:rRNA from 1 species
CCUACGGGAGGCAGCAGUGAGGAAUAUUGGUCAAUGGACGCAAGCCUGAACCAGCCAUGCCGCGUGCAGGAAGACGGCUCUAUGAGUUGUAAACUGCUUUUGUACGAGGGUAAACGCAGACACGCGUAUCUGUCUGAAAGUAUCGUACGAAUAAGGAUCGGCUAACUCCGUGUCAGCAGCCGCGGUAAUACGGAGGAUUCAAGCGUUAUCCGGAUUUAUUGGGGUUAAAGGGUGCGUAGGCGGGCUGAUAAGUUAGAUGUGAAAUCCCGGGGCUCAACCUCGGAAUUGCCUCUGAUACUGUUGGUCUAGAGAGUAGGUGCGGUAGGCGGAAUGUAGGGUGUAGCGGUGAAAUGCUUAGAGAUCACGCAGAACACCGAUUGCGAAGGCAGCUUACCAAGCUACUUCUGACGUUGAGGCACGAAAGCGUGGGGAGCAAACAGGAUUAGAUACCCGGGUAGUC